GAGAAAAUCGGGAAUAGGGUCGGUUUAAUUCUGGCUUAGGAUUUUUUAUAGGAAAAUAAAUUUAUAGUGAAAAAGUAGAACAAAAAAAGCUAGAUGGCAAAAUUGGGGGCGUUUGGAUGGAAGCUCUGGUUAUUUCUAAAAAUUUUAGCAAAUAUGGUGCCAGCGGCUGCGGUUAUACCAUAAAAGUGAAAAAAUUUCUGUUUUAAUUUUGAAGCUUCUUAAAAAAAAUUAAAGGCUUACAUAGGAGGUAAAAUUUUAUGGGUUAAGAUAUUUUUUAGGAAGAUGUUUUGGAAAUUCUGAAGUGAAACUAGGAUUAGAUACCCUAUUAUUAUUGAGAUAAAGAAAAUUAGGUAGUAGUGGGUGUCUUGAAACUUAAAGAAUUUGGCGGUGUUUUAAUCUAAUCAGAGGAACUUGUAUUUUAAUUCGAAACCACUCGUUUAAUUUCACUUAAAUUUUGUUUGUAUAUCGUCGUAAAAAUAAAAUUUUAAAGUGAAUAUUCAAAAAAAUUGUUUUUAAAAUUACAGAUCAAGGUUCAGCAAUGUUAUUUAAGCAGAAUAUGAGUUACAAUAUAAAUGAUAUAUUUACGGAAAGAAGAUUGAAAUAUUUUAUAGAAGGUGGAUUUGAAAGUAAAUUAAAAUUAAAAAGUUUAAUUGAAUCAGCCAUAAAACAUGCACAUAUUGCCCGUCACUCUCUUUUUAUAAGAGAAAAGUCGUAACAUAGUAGAGGUAUUGGAAAAUGUCUCUAGAGGAAG
rnacentral:rRNA from 1 species